UUAUUUUUUUGUAUCUCUAGGAUCAUUAGAGUGAGCAACAAGUAAUGUAAUGCAAUGGACGAACACAGAUAGUAAUUAUUUUGAUGUCAACACAGUCAAGAUACGUAUCUGUUAAGAUCCAGACAAGUCACAACAGUAUCCGGAACAGAUAUCCGCAAUUGUAGUUGCCGAGGAACGGCCAAUUAGAGCCGCUCCGACACUGACCCCAAAAGACAAGAAUUUUUUCUUCCUACGAAGAAAUUCCUAUCGAUCACAUGCGAUGCACAUGAAUGGGCAGCACCUGCCCCAACGCAGACGGAUUUGACCCUUAAAUUAAAAAUUCUGUUUGCCUUCCAGUAGUUCAACUUCAUUCCGGAAGAGUGCAAGGUGGUUGUGGUUCUCCCAGCAACACCGCAAGCUGAAACAAAAAACAAACUUCAAUCAAGCAAAGUACUUUCCUUUCCUUCCAGCACUCGCCAACACAUUCACCAGAGCAAUCUGAAAUGAAACGCACGAUACCAAACCUAUACUGUAAUCCCGGAUCCACAGCUUGAGCGAAAUCCAAGAAACGUUGUGGACGACAUUGCGACAAGUCACCUAAUAAUGCUCAUGUCAAGAAACAUGACUGUCAUGUCAGUUAUACACACAAGUGUGUCAUAGAACACGAAUCUGUGCUUUAACUGUCGUACUCGACAUGGUUGAACUUGAAACAUACGACGAUAUGCAAAGUGGGCUUUAUUUCGUUGGCGCCCGCGUCUCACUAAACAACGUCAUCCUAUAUCACAUGAACGUGGGCAGUUUACCGGCCGUAAACAGUGAAACUGGCUGUAGGAUAUGACACGGAUUGGAACUUCUCGGCUUCGGAUGCUUUAACAACUGAAGGAGAUGGCAGUUUUUCCCAGCUUGGUAUCAAUAAAGUGACUGUCGUUCCGAUACGCGGGUCAACGAUACUGCAGCGUCUGUUAUGAAAUAACAGUUACAAACGACAAAAUCUUCUCGAAACACUCCGGCAUUCAUAAGGUCAGGAAAUCCCCUUUGCUUUUUUCUUUGAAUUUUUGCCAAUGUCAAGCCUCAUACACGCGAUGAAAUUGGCGCAGAGUUUCUCUGUCUCGAUUG